CGUCCGCUCGGGCCUGAGGCGGGGGGAGGCAGCAGUGGUUACGUGAGGGGGACCGCUGACGCAGUCGCGGGGCGCUGGGACGCGGCGUGUGGAGCCGGCCUGCCGGGAAGACCCCGGGGCCUGGGGCCGGCGGCGGGACAGCACCUACCUUCCCGGCUUCGGAUCCGGGAGUGCGGGGCGCGGAGCCGCCGGAGCGCUGCCUCCCUCCUUCCUCCUCCCCCCGCCCCCGCCCCGCAGCACGACACACAAUACUCGCCGGAAGCGGAAGACGCACUGCGCCGAGUGGCUCGUGUCGAGUGAAAGCCGGGUUCUGCAGGCCCCCGCGGCAGGGCUUAGCGGGGCCUGCAGAAGAAGAAGAAGUGGGGCCGGAGAUGCUCAAUGUCAAAUGAGCAGAUGCUCAAUGUCAAAUGAAGAGGAAUGCCUGAAGUAGAUGCUCAAUGUCAAAUGAGGAAUGGUUUGUUUAAUACUAGGCUAACUGUAGCAUCCAGCAUGAGUGAUGAUUACAUUUGCAUUCCUUCUGGAAAACAAGGCUUAAAUGCAAGUGCAGCACCAAACAUCUAAGAUGAAGAACCUCAAUGGGUGUUUUUUUGUUGUUGUUUGUUUGUUUGUUUGUUUGUUUUUUUCCUUCCCCCAUUUUUCUAUUCAUCCAUCCAUAGACUAGACAAAGAGGAGUGUGAUCCAUAUGGCUUUCCCAAUCACAUUG